rnacentral:rRNA from 1 species
UAGGGAAUAUUGGUCAAUGGAUGCAAGUCUGAACCAGCCAUGCCGCGUGCAGGAAGAAGGCCUUCUGGGUUGUAAACUGCUUUUGCCAGGGRAUAAAAUAMCSAUGCGUCGUUAAUUGAAGGUACCUGGUGAAUAAGCCACGGCUAACUACGUGCCAGCAGCCGCGGUAAUACGUAGGKGGCAAGCGUUGUCCGGAUUUAUUGGGUUUAAAGGGUGCGUAGGNGGBCYUDUAAGUCAGUGSUGAAAUAUCCCGGCUUAACCGGGAGGGUGGCAUUGAUACUGHWGGWCUUGARUAAAGUUGAGGUARGCGGAAUUGACSGUGUAGCGGUGAAAUGCUUAGAUAUCGUCAAGAACACCUAUUGCGAAGGCAGCUUACUAARCUUUAACUGACACUGAGGCACGAAAGUGUGGGGAUCAAACAGGAUUAGAUACCCUGGUAGUCCACACUGUAAACGUUGAAKACUCGAUGUUAGCGAUACACUGUUAGCGUCUGAGAGAAAUCGUUAAGUCUUCCACCUGGGGAGUACGCCGGCAACGGUG